rnacentral:rRNA from 1 species
UUUCCUACGGGGCGCAGCAGUGGGGGAUAUUGCACAAUGGGGGAAACCCUGAUGCAGCGACGCCGCGUGGGCGAAGAAGUAUUUCGGUAUGUAAAGCCCUAUCAGCAGGGAAGAAGAAAUGACGGUACCUGACUAAGAAGCCCCGGCUAACUACGUGCCAGCAGCCGCGGUAAUACGUAGGGGGCAAGCGUUAUCCGGAUUUACUGGGUGUAAAGGGAGCGUAGACGGCGAUGCAAGUCUGAAGUGAAAGGCGGGGGCCCAACCCCCGGACUGCUUUGGAA